rnacentral:lncRNA from 1 species
ACGGGAUUCAUUUUCCAGAUUUGCUAACUUUCGAAAUCAAUUCAUUUGACCAACCAAAUCAUGUUAUUUUUCAAUGAAAUUUUGUACACACUUACAAUAAUAGAUAAACAACAUAAUAAAUUCAUUAGAAUCUCAAAAUCUGGCACGAAAACGGUCGGACAAGGCAGGGGUAAAACGGUCACUUUUGCUCCAAGCACCUCCUUUGAUUUUCUACCAACAAUACAACAUUAAUCUACUAAUAUAAGCACUAAACCACCAUUAAUUUCAUCAUCCAACAUCAAAUCAGCAACAACCCAAGAGUGGGAGUUCAUAGAGCCCACUUUCACAUUUUAUACCAUAAACAAGACUACCCACAUGAUUAUAUAACCUUAUAUGUGCAAUAAAUCUUACAAAAACUAAGAUCUAUGGGUUGGAUGAUUUGCUACCUUCUUGGAUGAUUAGAUCAGAAAUUUUGGUCACUCUUUGCUCCAGAAAACCGUGGCUUUUCAGCUCCCUUUUGCAGCUCAAAAUACUCCUCAAGUGUUAAGCUAAGUGUAGUUCGAAUUUGGAGUGAAUUGGAAGAGGUUUGGUGAAGAUUUGAUGGAGGAAUUGGAAGAACUCUUGAGCUGUUUUUCUUGCUUUGUUGUUCGGCCAGAUGAGGGAGCAAGAGAGAGAAAUUGUGGUCUGAAAUGAGGCUUCCAAAGGAAGCUUAAUGACUAAG